AAAACUGACAAAAAGCAAUGCAGCGCUACAAAGCGGAGCGUUUGGAGAAAGCGGGCGAAACGGGUGCUAUUGGUGGAGCGGAGCGGGUCAAUAGAAGGUCAAAGCGGGCACAAUUUUGGUUAUGCGUAAAAUACUGGAAUGCCCUUCACUUAAAACUAUUUGGAGGGUUAAUUUAGUAAUUUUCGAAACCCUAAAAUCACUCUUCUCCCAUCAGAAGCAACACACAGCCGCAAAACACAACCUCUUCAUUGUACGUACAACAACACAAAAGCAAGCUCUUCAUCUCUUCAGCCGUAAAGGCAACCUCUUCAUCACUUCAUUUUUGUUCUCCUCUCUUCAUUUCUGAAACAGGUUCGUUCAUGCUUCAUCUUAAUCAUCUUUUUUUUUAUCUGCGUUAAUUUCUGUUUAGAAACACACCUUCUCUGUUUCUGUUUCUCUUUCACAAAUAUUUUUCUAAUUCCUUUCCAGAAAUUGUUUUCCCUUUCAGAAAGGGAGUUUUGUUAUUCUGUAAUUCUGUUUUGUAAUUCAUAAAGGGUGUUUUGUUUUGUAAUUCAGAGAGGGUGUUUUGUUAUGUUGAUCUUUGUUCUGUUCCAAUUCAAUAGGAAAUAGCUUUGGCAAGUAGUUCUCGACCAUCAUCAUCCUAUGUUGUUGAUUCCAGUGCUCAAUUUGUUGCUUCCUCUGUUGAGCUAUUCAAACCAUCCUUUCCUGACAUAGGAUGGAAAUAUAACAGUUUAAGGAACAAGAUUAAUACGAAGAAAGCCACAUGUGAUUAUUGUUUGAUAGAGUCUAAGGGUAGAAUUUCUAGGGCCAAACAACAUCAAAUGGGAGUAACAGGAAAUGUUGGAGCUUACAAAAAGACACCGGAGGAGGUGAAACUACUCAUGAAGAAAGUAGAUUGGCAAAGGUGAAAUCUGUUUCAUGAGGUUCAUGAAGAUGAUGAUGAGACAGCACUACUUCAAGAAAUAUCAAAGAUGGGUAAAUGGGAAAAGGCCAAAAACUGAAGUGGGGAGUAUUCCGGCUGCCAAG
rnacentral:lncRNA from 1 species